AAUGUUUUGGCAGAAUAAUGCAUUAAAUUUAGAAUUUAAAUAAGUAUAAUUAUAUACAUACAUUA
rnacentral:tRNA from 1 species